UAUCAAUAAGCGGAGGAAAAGAAACUAACAAGGAUUCCCCUAGUAACUGCGAGUGAAGCGGGAAAAGCUCAAAUUUAAAAUCUGGCAGUCUUUGGCUGUCCGAGUUGUAAUCUGGAGAAGUGUUUUCCGCGCUGGACCGUGUACAAGUCUCUUGGAACAGAGCGUCAUAGAGGGUGAGAAUCCCGUCUUUGACACGGACUACCAGUGCUUUGUGAUGCGCUUUCAAAGAGUCGAGUUGUUUGGGAAUGCAGCUCAAAAUGGGUGGUAAAUUCCAUCUAAAGCUAAAUAUUGGCGAGAGACCGAUAGCGAACAAGUACCGUGAGGGAAAGAUGAAAAGCACUUUGGAAAGAGAGUUAAACAGUACGUGAAAUUGUUGAAAGGGAAACGCUUAAAGUCAGUCGCGUUAUUCAGAACUCAGCCUUACUUUUGUUUGGUGUAUUUUCUGUUUGACGGGCCAGCAUCAAUUUCGAUCAUUGGAAAAGGGCCAGAGGAAUGUGGCACCUUCGGGUGUGUUAUAGCCUUUGGUCGCAUACAAUGGUUGGGAUUGAGGAUCUCAGCAUGCCUUUUGGCCGGGGUUCGCCCACGUUCAUGCUUAGGAUGCUGGCGUAAUGGCUUUAAACGACCCGUCUUGAAACACGGACCAAGGAGUCUAACAUGCCUGCGAGUAUUUGGGUGGAAAACCCGAGUGCGCAAUGAAAGUGAAAGUUGGGAUCUUUGUCAUGGGGAGCACCGACGCCCGGACCAGACCUUUUGUGACGGCUCCGCGGUAGAGCAUGUAUGUUGGGACCCGAAAGAUGGUGAACUAUGCCUGAAUAGGGUGAAGCCAGAGGAAACUCUGGUGGAGGCUCGUAGCGAUUCUGACGUGCAAAUCGAUCGUCAAAUUUGGGUAUAGGGGCGAAAGACUAAUCGAACC
rnacentral:rRNA from 1 species